CUGCACAUUCCUUGUUAUAUUUUUUCUCCUUCAUGGGGCAUCUUAUUUGAAAAUCAGUCACAUAAUCCCACCACACCCAGGGCCUAUUGGUCUCAUUUGCCACUUUGAAAACACAAAGCUGCCUUAAGUUCUCAAUAACUACAUCUUUCCCUUCAUAACCUGAGCUAAAAUCUUGUUCAGGAUCCGGUGCACAGUAUCUUCCGCGGUUGAUGCAUUGAGAUUUGCACUGUCGGCUUAGUGUGAAAGCUUGAGGGCAGUACCAAGUUAUAUAAUGGGGUGUGAACUGCGAAUAGCCACCUUUUUCGAGUAUCUGAGCAGCACCCUUGAAAUCCUUCACAAAUGCCAUCAGCAUAUCACAUUUAACUCCACAUUCAUCAUUGCUGUUGGUCCAUAACUCGUACUCGACACGAUCAUCAGGGUGUGGAACAGCCUCUCGCCAAUCAAGAUUAACAUUGACCAUAUCCCCACCACUGAUAGCUUUCUUUAGAGUUUCACCAAAAGUUUUCUCGAUAAGGGCAGAUGGAAUUGUUAUAUUUUCAAUGUAUUUGGCAGAUGAACUGUCCUCUUCAGGAUUGUCCAUGGUUAUUAAUGCUUCUUCAAUAUCAUCCGCAACAAGCACUGCAGAAGCACCUGCUUGCUGUACAUUCCAAACCUUUAAAGCAAAGAAGCAAUCUGGAAAAAUAAUAAGAAAAAAAGCGCUAAAUGCAGUCUCCGCAAAUAUAUUUAUCAAAAACUAAAGAAAACUUACAUCUAAGACCAUAACUCAAUCAAGGACAAUAAGCAAAUUUUACAACCUUAGCAGCAACUGGUGUCCGUAUAUAGGCAACACUUCAGAUUUUUCUCAUCUCUUUAACAGUGUAAUCACAUUAUAGUAAUGUAACUGAAUUAUCUAAUCCGGAAGUAACUAUAAGCCAUUACUACCUAAUGCUUAGAUCAACCAGCAUUUUGAACCUUGUUUUUAUCACCACACAUCUGUUUGAGAACCAACCAAACUCAAAUCAUACACUCUAAAUAUAUGUUCACUCGGACUCGGGUAUGAGUUUCAAAUAUAGGCACAUGUUUGACACGGAUAUGUUUGUUUUUGUUUUUCAUGUAUCUGGAGGAUCUUUGAAAAGUCAUGUGUCCCCAUAUGCAUGUUCGGUUAUUGAGUCUAAAACGGGUACUUCAAACGGAUAUCUAGAGGAUUAUUAACAGCGUAAUCACAUUGUAGUAAUGCAACUGAAUUAUCUAAUCCGGAGGUAACUAUAAGCCAUUACUACAAAAUGCUUAGAUCACCAUUAUUUCGAAACUCAUUUUUAUUAUCAUACAUCUGUUUAAGAACCAACCAAACUCAAAUCAUACACUCUAAAUCUAUGUUCACUUGGACUUGGGUACGAGUUUCAAAUAAAGGUAUGUGUUUGACACUGAUAUAUUCAAUUUUUUUUCAUGUACCUAGAGGAUCUUCGAAAAGACAUAUCACCGCACGCAUGUUCAGAUAUUGAGUCUAAAACGGGUACUUCAAGCAAAACUGAGAGUCAGAGAAACUUAGCUCUAAACCACUUUAUCCAAUCCGGAGAAAACUAUAAGCCAUUACUACGAAAUUCUUAGAUAACCAGCAUUUUGAAAUUCAUUUUUAUUAUCAUACAUCUAUCUUGAGAACCAACCAAACUCAAAGCAUACACUCUAAACCUAUGUUCACUUGGACUCGGGUAUGAGUUUCAAAUACAGGCAUGUGUUUGAACAGAUAUAUUCAAAUUUUUUUCAUGUACCUAGAAGGAUCUUUGAAAAAUCAUAUCACCGUACACAUGUUCGGAUAUUGAGUCUAAAACUGGUACUUAAAGCAAAACCAAGAAUCAGAGAAACUUAGCUCUACUUUUGUAGACACCUCUAAGGCUAUAUCCCUAUGAAAGGAGGGAAAUGAAGCUAAAAAAAUGGACCUAAUUUCAGAAAACAACUAGUAAGAUAAAAAGAGAAAAAGACAUCCGUCCAAACAACUUAAAGCAAAGCUGAAAACAAGUAAAUUAAUACAUAAAUGAAUGAAUAAAUAUAUAAAUAAUGAUAAUGAAAUCAAUGGAAACUGAUAAACCUAAAUUUAUUUAAAUGAAUUAGAGUUAAAAAAUAACAACAUAAAUCCAAGUAGAUGAAAAAACCAAAUCAAUUAACCCUCAAAUCCCAAACUAACAAAUAAAUUAUUGCCCCAUAAAUAAACCAAAUCCAACAAAUUGAACUAUAAACCUAAUAUUAAAAAUUCCCCAAAUUGGAAAUACUCAAAUUAGCUAAAACAACACAAAAAUUCCUCAUCGGUCAACCAUACAACAAACAAAUUAUAGCUCAAAUAAACAAAAUCACAGAUUAAUUUUUCUUAUAAGGCGAAAAAUUUGAAAAAAAAAGGGUACCUCCACGAUCGACCAAAACAAAGGUAGGAAGAGAACCAGGCUUGGAUUUAAACGAAAUCCCAAAGUCAUCAAAGCUUUUACAAGCCUUUUGGUUUUCUUUAGGGUAAACCACAACACCAGCCAUGCUUCCACCAUAUUGAGGUAUCCCAAAGUUCCCAAUCGCACUAUCAUGGGUUCCUUUAAUCUUCUCCGGCGAUGUUACCGUCAAGCUGUUCUUUUCCACCACGAAUCUCGCGUAACAAUUGCUUAUCAAAGAUAAUAACAUAAACCCUUGAAGAAGAUGAUGAUGGAAUGUUCGUAGCUCCAUAUCUUUACUUUGGGUUUUUUGUUCUUGGAUUUGGAUUUGGAUUUGGAUUGGAUCAGUUUUAAGAACGAUACUGAUGAAGAAGAUGAAGGUCGUGUAUGAAAAACAUGUAAAAUUAAAUGGAUUUUUUAAAAAUAAAAAUAGUGAAAAUGGCCAUUAAAUAUUAAAUCAAAAGUCGAAAUCUUUCAUCUUUUAAACAAACAUUUUUAUGAUUCUUUUAUUUGUUUUAAAUGAUUUUAGAACACAGCUAGUGAAAUUUUGACACGCUACGAAUAAAAAAUCUUAGUCAUUCAUAGGUGUGGCUCGUUGUAAGAGUAAAUUGCACUAGAGGCUCCUAAACUAUGACUUAUUUUAAAUUGGUCGUUAAAAUUUAAAAUAUUCUAAUUACAUCCUCAAAUUUUCAAGAUUAUGUUAAUUAAGUCCUUAUGAUACUAAAACCAUUAAGUUCACUAUUAAGUAAAAUAUCAAAUCUUAUGUGACAUAAUUUAAAUUUUAAAAAGUAAAGCAUCAUUCUACUUAACAGUGAAUUUAACAAGUUUAGUAAUGGAAGGACUUAAUUGACAUAACCUUGAAAAUUUAGAGAUAUAAUUAAAAUAUUUUAAAGUUUAGAGACCCAUUAAAAAUGAGAGUCAUAGUUUGUGAAUCUCUGAUGCAAUUUACUCUCGUUGUAAUUAAGUGCUUGUGGGUUGGGUCUAGAGGUUUUUAUAUUCGAGUGGCCAGUCCAAGUUAGUUUAGUUUAAAAGACAAUCAAGAUUCUUUUCACUCGAUCCAUGACAAUAGAUGUUUUCAAUUAGCUCGAGUUUUUGAGAUAAUUUAUGUGAAUUAUUGUUGAUGUAGCCAACCUGUACUUGUGCCUCAUUUAAUAUGUGAGUUCAAACAUCAUCGAGUGUGAAAAUUUUAAUUCUUUUGACAUAAUGACUUAUUUGGCUCUCAAACUUUACAAAAUGACUUUAACCCUUCAAUUAGUUUUUCGUGUCUUUUAACUAUUGAACUUGCACUGUAUGUUAAAUCACCAAAAAAUAGAUAAAAACGUUUGUUAAUUUUGAAAAUGUGGCAUCCACGUGGGUACCACAUCAACAAUUAAUUAUUUUUCAAUUCAAAAAAUUAAAAAAAAAACCCACUAUUAAAAAUUUUAAAAAUAUAAAAGAUAUACUUUUUAAUUUUAAAAAAUAAUUAAUUAUUGAUAUGACAUACAUGUGGAUGUCACAUCAGCAAAGCUAAUAGACAUUAAUUUUUUAAUCUAUUUUGAAGUCAUUUGAUAAAUAACAUAAAUUCAAGGGUUAAAAAGAGACAAAAAAUUAAAUUGAAAGCUAAAAUAACCUUUUUUUUUGUAAAAUUGGAGGACUAAAUAAAUCAUUAUGUUAAUUCUUUUUAAUGGUUUAUCAAUAGGCAUCCGAGGAAGUGCUUCUGCUUGUUGAAACUAUUGCUUGUUCAAGCAUUCGAAUUUUCAAUAGAGUUGGAAGAAAAAAUCUUUGCUAAAAAUAAUAUUCGAACUUGCUGAGGUUUAACCUUAGGAUUAUAUUUAUAGAUUUUAUUAUAUUAUUUUUUGAUUUAUAUUUAUUUUAUAUAUAAUUAAAGGAUAAUAUAAAUUUGGUUCGCAAACCUAACAACUAAGUUCACUUUAGUUUCUGUAUUUUUUUAUUUGUCCAUUUUGACACUUAAACUUAACAAAUAGGUCUAUUUUGAUAUCUGAACUUGAAAAUUAUAAAAAUUGUAUGCAUUUUUAAAUGAUGACAUGGUACAAUAUUAGAAUGUCAUGUUUAAUGUUUUAAUAACCGAACAAAUGAUUGAACAAAUCAUACCACCGAUUCUCAGUUCAGUCACUUUGAUCUAAUUGACAACAGGACCAAGAAGAAUUAAAUAAACAAUUAAAAAAUUAUAAAAAUCUAAAAAAGUAUUUAAAAAAAUUUAUUAUACUGGUUCAAUAUGUUCAACUGUCGACUUUUAUCCCAAUUUUUGAUUUUUACCAAUUUCAAGCAAUUUAUGAGUCAAUCGAUUCAACUAUUUUGUUUGGACCAUUAUAUCGAUCAAUUAUCAAUCUGUCCAAUCCAAUUUUGUUCCAGUAAUAUUAAUUAUGUCAUCAAAUCUUGACAAAAUCUAAAUUUUAAGAUAAAAAUGAAUCUAAUUAUCAAAUUUAAAGAUUAAAAUCAAACAAAAAAAUAAAUAUAAAUAUUAAAGUGAACCUAAUUCCGAAGUUCAAGUACUAAAAUUUAUAUUAUGCCUAAACUUAUGCUUGAAAUUAUUAGAUAAUAGUGUCGGAUCCUAACGACUACAUCUAAAAGUUUUAUAUUAUAUUAUAUUAUAUUAUUUAAUUAUCAUUAAUGAAUGUGGUGGUGGGACUCAAAUAAAAUUAUUUAUUUAAAAGAAAUAUUUGUUUAGUCUAAAAAAUUUAUUAGUCUCAAAUUAAUCCUCAAACUUAAUAAUUAAAUUAAUUUUAAUAUUGAACUUUUCUAUUAGUCUUAAUUUCUAACAUUUUUUUUUAAAAUUUUAUCCUUAAACUUAUAUAACAUUGAGUUCUGUCACAUUAACUUUUCUCAAAUUUAUAUAAAUUUUUAAUUUUUAAAUAAUGAUUUGAAACAAUCACAAAAUACCAUAUCAUCACAAAUAUAAAGACUAAAUUAAAAAAAUGUCAACUUUUAAGGCAAAUAUAGACAAAAUAAAAAUGGACAUAAGAGUCCAAAAACUGAAAAAAAAAAGUAAUAAAAUUGGGUGGGCUUGAUUUAUAUUUAAGAAUAUUUUAAUGAAUAAUUAAUUAUAUAAAUAUAAAAAACAAUAAAUUUAAUUAAUUUGGAUUUUUUAGGUGAUACGAUCCGGUCUUAUCCAAAGCUAAAAACAAAAUAAAUAAAUAAUCUAACAACUGCUCAUAUAUUUAGAAUGAAGAUUUAAAAAAAAAAUGUUGGUCUAGUUGAUUGGUUUAUCAUCCAAAGAUUAAUUAUUUGGAUACAAAUACCGGCUAUAAUACAGAUACAUUUAAUUUUGUAUAUAAAAUAUCAUAUAUUUAUUAAUUUAAAAUUAAAAUUAAAUGCAAAAUUAACCCUCAAAUAAUUACCAUAUUUUUCUUUAGAAACCUAUUUUUAUUUUCAGCAUCUUAAAAAUAAUUCCCUCAUAUUGUACACUAAAAUAAGACGAAAUUGAAUAAUUUAUCUGCCUACUUUUUGACAAAAAAAAAAAAAAAAAAACACUUUGGGCACCUAAGAGGAACAAGUGGUAUAGCUUGAGACCAAUUUUGUAAUCAAGCAUUUACUCUAGAACAAUUAAGAAAUGGCAAACUACCUGGUAGGCCCCUCUAUUAUAAAAAUUGGAUCAAAUUAAUUUCUCUGAAUCAAUUUAAUCUCUAUACGAUUAAAAAGAAUCAAAUAAGGUGAAACUUCAACGAAGUUAACAUUUUUCUUUUAAAAAAGUCUUUGACAAAGUUAAUAUUUUGAAAAUUUAGUGGUUUUGCAAAUAAAAUCCUUUGUUUAGAGUUGAACUAGAAACAAAUAAAAAUUAGUUUUUCAUGUAAUUUUUCAAACACUUAAUGUUAACUUUAUUACAAUUUGACAUUAUUUGAUUCUUUUUAAUAAUUCAAGACAAAAUCAAUCUAUUUAAUAGUAAAAAUUUGAUUCAGUUCCUAUAACAGAGGGACUUAGCAUAUACUUUCAACAUUAAGAAAUUCUAUAGAACAAAAAGGGAACAUUUUUAACAUACCAAAAGGCAAUAAACAAAAUUUGCCACUUUUAAGCAUACAAGAAUUGGUUCAUUACACCCUCCAAAAACCAGUCCUUGAACUAAUAAUGUCACUAAACAAACGCAAUAGAACAAACAACAAUAAUUAAGAAAAGAUAAAUUAUUAACAUUAAAUUAAUAGGUGCAAGAUUAGUCAACCUCCAUACCAGAAAUGGCUUCCUCUAGAAUCUUUUGAAGUUCCUUCACUCUUUGCCGUGUUAAUGCAAUGCAGUCCUGCAUCCAUGGAAAAGUUAUUUUCAUAUCAAGCUUUUGGUCCAUUAGUUCAGUAUAAGUUUAAGGGUUAAUAUAAUUUUUAGCUCCCGAACUUUGCAAUUAGUUUGGCCCAUGUUAGUUUUGGAAAUUGGCAACUUUUUCCAUUUUGGUCAUUGCAAGUUGAUUUUCAUAAAGUGUGAUAACGAGACACUUGGAGAUUGUUUGAAGAACUGGCACAAUCUUAGAGUGUUAUGCUCACACCUUAACGUAACCCAAUUUAGGGACCAAAUUGGAAAAAGCUGCCAAGUUCCAAGUUAAUGUGGAUAAAAAAAAGUUUAGAUACUAAUGUGGACUUAAUUGCAAAGUUUAGGGGUAAAAAAUUACAUUAACCAUAAUUUUAACAAUAUAAUUUCAAGGGUUAAUGUAAUUUUUAGUUCCAGAACUUGCAACUAAGUUGACUUUGCUAUUUGAACUUUUUUUGUCCACGUUAGUCCUAGAACUUGCAACUUUUACCAAUUUGGUCCUUCAACUUGAAUUUCGUUAAAAGUGUGAUGACAUGACGCUCUGAGAUUGUGCCACAUAAUCACCUAAAAUAUAUAUAAUUGGGAAAAGCUGACAUGGUACAAUAUUAGAGUGUCAAGUCAUCACACCUUAAUGGAAUCAAAGUUCAAUGACUAAAUUAAGAAAAGUCACCGAGUUUUGAGACUAAUAAAAAAAAGUUAAGAGUACCAAGUUCGACCUAGUUGUCAAGUUUAAGUGACAAAAAUUACAUUAACCCUAAUUUUACAACAAUUUGUAUGGCAAACACAUCAUAAAAAAAAAAGACUUCAAAGCACCAAAAAGUUUGAACUUUCAACAUGACAACCCAUAUUUCUAUAAACUAUUUCCCUUUGGACAAGAAAAUGACCUUCAGGCCUAAUCUUGGAGUCAAGGUGGCUUCUAAAGUUAACGGUGAAAAAUACACCAUGAUAAGAGCACUAAAAUGUAAAGCAUCAUAAGAAAAAUAAAAUAAAGUUUGAACUCUGAACAUGACAACCUAUAUUUCUAUAAACUAUUUAACUUUGGACAAGAAAAUGACCUUCAGGCCUAAUCUUGGAGGCAAGGUGGCUUCAACAGUUAACGGUGAAAAAUACACCAUGAUAAGAGCACUAAAAUGUAUUAUGCUGCUAAAGCUUCAUUAAACCUAAAAAGGGACAUCAAGAUUCAACUGACCUGGAUAGCUGAUGUAUAUGCUAGGACUGUUCCACCUGGUUUAUGAAGCGAGACGAGUUGACUAGAUGAAUCUAAAACCACGGUUACAAUCGUGUCCAUAAUAGAUUCUUCCUCGGCAGUAGGAUCUGCCAAAAUGUAGUUCUUGUGAAGUACACAUGUCAAUGAAAACGGAAUGCUGCUCAGAUUAAUUUUUCUCUUCUCCUUAUUGACUGGUUCCCUGUCAGAUAGUCCUUGUUCCUCUGAUAAAACGAUCUUUCCAUCAUCGUUGAGAGAUACCACCGGGACCGGGAUUUCCACUGGAAUUUUUUUUUCGUAAAAUAAAAACAGUUAGAUUAGACACUCCAAAACAAAAUCUAUUAAAUCAAUAGUGUAGCUGCAGAGGGAAUAUCAAGACCAGAUAAUAUAAAGAGGCUUUGCAUGGGACAGCAAGCUAGGCAAAAUUAAAAGGUAAAUAGAUUACAGCCAUAACAUAUGGUUGACCUUGCCUUGUAUCUUAUAUCAUGAAAGUAUAAAUUGCGAUAUUUUGCAACAGGGUUUACCAUUGAAGGAUGCCCUAUAACCAAUAAGCUUGGUCAAGAUUUAUACUACCAAUGAUGCAUACUAAUCACUCAUCUAAUAUGAGAUUUAGUAAUUUUUUGGUUUACCCAAGGAAAAGCUUUAAUCAUGGAUUAGAUGAAACCAGGUUCCUAGAGCAAAUUCUGAUCAUUGUAUUGCCAAGAUAGAGCAGUGAUAAUUUUUGCUGGUACAUGAAAAUGCGUUUCCUAUGUUAAAAUUAAAGGAAGUAAUUCAUGCAAAAACCCCAAGAUCGCCAGACACACUUAAAAGAAGCAUGAAAAUCAGAAUGUCAGCCCUGAAAUAAAAUCAAUUUGCAUGUUAAUGCAUCAAGUGGAUAUAGCUUUUAGUGGUUUAUCAUAAAUUUCUUAAAGAUAACAGAAGGAAAAGGAGCAUUAUGUUCCAAGUGUCUUUUGUCAACCUAUUAUGACUUACUCUUGAUAAAUAAAUGAAAUGCUACUUUUAAUUUAAUUUACACCAGAGGAAUUCCUCAGGCGGUCAUACAUUUUUCUCUUUAAAAGAACAAAGCAAUUUUACCAUCGCAAAUUUUCUUUUCCCUAUCAUUGUCAAUCUUCUUUCUCAUGGAAGAGGUUGGUUGUUUUUGGCAAGUAUUAUCAUAUUUAGUGGCAUGGUGAAUUGAUGUUAUAAUAUUUGAUGAAAAUGAGAGAAACACUUACAAUAAGAAAAGGCAGCAACAACUGAGAGUAAUGCAGUGUCAAAAAGAGCACCAUCAACAUCCAAACAGUAUAUGUCCUGAAAAAACAGAAUACUAUGUUACUUCCAUAUUCAAGGAGAACAAAGGCACUAUGUUAUUACUUGAAUUUCCAUAUCAACUUGCAUGAACACUAGAUGGCUUAUGUUCGAACUCUUACACAACUUGAAAGUCCUAAGACGGAUAAUAAAGACAUUUUAAAACCACAAUCACGUACCAAAUAUGCCAUCCAAGCAACUUUUCCACUAACCAAGGACAGUUCCUUCAAAUUGAUCAUGCCAGAGCUGUAAUUACACAUGACAAGUUGUUUGAGAACCUAACAGAAAGAAAAGGAUUCAAAGUGGAACAGUUUUGAAACAAAACAUUUAUAAGUGUAAAGAGAUUCAAAAGAAACGAAACCACCAACAAAUUUAGAUAAAAUAACUGAGCAGUGUGCUUCAGCAAGCAGUAAGAAGCAAGAGGGAGAACUCAAAGUUUCAAUAUCAAGGCUAAAAUACCCAGUUAACCACAUCAAUAAUCAUAAGUAAAUACAGAGGCGAAGAGGAAGAUAAUGAUUGAAUCCACACAAAGAUGAGAUAACAAAUUGAAGACUUUGCAUUCUAAAGAUUACAGCACAGAUAAACAUCACACGUCACAACUACAAGUAAAUUAACAGGCUUAAUAGGGUGCAUCUCAGCAUCAAUAAACAAUCAAGGAACUAAAUUGGCAUGCCUUAAAAUAGUGUCUGACAAUUGCUUUGCAACGACUGGUGCUGCCUCAUCUGGUCUGCCAGGCCUAACAAUUGGAGAACAAAUUGGAGGCAUGUGGAAAUAAAUCGCUGAAAAUGAAAAAGAAAUUAUGAUAAAGUACGAGAAAUAAGAGAUACGUUUUAAGAAGAGAAAGAGAAACAAGAAAGCAUGCGGCUAACGGCAGCUAACGGCAGCAAACCUAUACAACCCUCAUCCGGUGUUUCCAAUGAAGGGGUCAUGACCUCCAUUUUGAUAGCAGCCAACAUAGUCUAUGCCAUGCAAGGAAUUAAUUAUUAAACUCCAAGCUUAAUUGCUUGCCAAAGCAAAGUAGAAAAUGUAUUAAGAGAAAGUGACAAAACUUACAGUUGAACCAAUUUUUGCAAGUGCUGAACCAUUAGCAGAUGCAACAGCCCCUGGAUAUUAAAGGAAUCAGAUCCAAGUAUGAAGAAAUAUUAUGUCACAUAAAAGCUUCAUAGUUAUAUCUUUUUUCUUUUACUAACCAAGGGCAAUGGUGGUUUCUCUUGCUCUUCCAAGCGGACGAGCAUCAGGACGUAUAGACUCUAAAAGAUGUUUCUCGUAUAAACGAAGGGGAAAGAGGCGUCUGAAAGCAUCUACCUCAACUUCAGUUGACAAGUCACCGCUCGCAUUUGGUAAUCCCAUCGUCAAUCUAUUUUCUUUUGAUCGAAAAAGGGGGGAAAAAACACAUUUAUACCCAUCCAUUAUCAGAAAUUAUAUUUCAUUCAUUUUAAAAUGUUGUUUUCAAGGUAAUAUCAUGGAAGCCUUUACUAGAAGUCAGAUUGCUUUUUGUCUCUUCUACUCAAAAAACGAGCAAAUUAGUCAUUGUACUUUAAAUCAAAGAGCAAAUUGUUCCUUGUGUUAAAAUUUUCAUUCAUUUCUACUAUUAAAAAAUAGUUUCUAUACAUCAAAAUAAGGUACAUGUAACGUGUCAAAUAUAAUUGUUUGGUUAUUCUGUAAACCACUUUAGAUGAACAAUUAUGACAAAAAGACCUAGUUUGCUCUUUGAUUUAAUGUACAGGGGCAAAAGGGUUUCCAUGCCGCUUUUUCCAUUAAAUAUGUGUUUUAGUUGUACAAACAACAUCAUUAUUUUAUAAAUUUUAGCAGAACUUUCUACAUUAACAAUUCUAAUUCAUCAAUAAAUCAGCAUAAUCGGAAAAUUUUCAAUGUUCAGAAUCAAUAUUUGAAACAUAAACUCAUGCAAUGAUAGUGAAAACAAUAAACAAAUUAGAAACGAGAAAUAACCCACCAUACAAAGAAAGUGAAAAAUGAUGAAAACACCCAAUAAAAAGCCAAAGAAAAUAGGACUUUAAAUUGGUGAAGAGGAGCUAAUAAACAAUCUCAAUCAUGGGACAAAAAGGGUCGUUUUCUUUGUGUUUAUUGUCAAACUAAUUCUCAAAAAAAAAAAAAAAACGAUGAAUAAAACACUCUAAAACUUGAAAUGAAACAAUAAAAAAAAAUAUAAAAGUAAUAUAAAAUUAUUAUAUAUGAGAAUAAAAGAAAGCCGUUUCUGGUGUACCUUAGCAAAUCGAUUUAGACCCUCUUUCUAGGCUCGGGCUUGGCCCAAAAUAUGGGCUUGAAAAUUUGUCUAUGUCCGGCCCGGGAAAAAAUUCCUAGGCCCGGCCCCGGCCCGUCCUUUUUUUUAGUAAACACCAAAAUUGUUAUAGCACCUAUGUAAAUAUUGAAUUAAUGGAGUGGAAAUUAGUUCAGUAAGAUAGAUUAGAAUAUGAUUAACUACUUUAACGAAUUUGACAUGAUUUAAAAUUUAAAACUUAAUUCAAGUAAUCCUUUGCGUUUAAAGGAUUGAGAUUAAACAAUUUAAAACUUUAAAAUUCCUAAUAAACCUAAACUUAAAAAUUGAGUUUAAACAAUUUAAAACAAUUGAGUUUAAACAAUUUAAAACUUAAAAAUUCCUAAUAAAUUAGAGUGUGAAAACGCAAACAAAAAAGGAAAAAGAAUUGAAUGGAACAAAAACAUUUAUUAGAUUUCAAAUUUAUAUAUAAACGUAGAAAACAUAAUAUUGUAUAUAUAAACCUAAACUAGAAAACGUCCUUUGCGUUUAAACAAUUGAGAUAGUCAUACUUAUUCUAUAAGCUAAAUUACAUAUGUACCAAAAAAGAAAUUAAUAAAAUUCAAACUGAAUAAAUCCAAUCAAAAUUCAUAAAUAGAAGCAUCUCCAUUUCUCAAUCCCAUUAUUUUCCUACUAGUAGAUAAACAAUUUUAGCAUAACAUUACCAUAAUUUAAUCAAAAUUUAAGUUUUUCUUUCCCCCUAAUAUUUUGGAAGUUCACUUCUUUUCCAGAGGAAUCAACAAUCAUAACAAUAUUUUGAGAUGAGGACACAAAUUAUCAUCUAGAAAAUCUGCUAAUCCUGCAUUUAAUUGCAAAAUGUUGUACAAAGUUAAAUAAAAGAAAAUCAAAUUAAAUUAAAUUAAAUUCUAAAAAGAAAAUGUAAACGAAAGCUUACGGGAAAGGAAGCUAAGGUAAGCCAAAUCGAUUUCAAUGUCGCUUGUUUUUGCAAUAAAACAAAGCAAAAACAAAAAAGAUGAGAUUAAAUGAAUAAACUAAGCUUGUGAUCUCAGCCCUGCAAAUUACAUGCUCUAUAAAACAUAAAUCAAUUCUCAUCCAAUAAUAAUUGAAUAACACAAUUUUACUCUUAAUUGUGCUCAGCUAAGCUGUAUUGAAAUACAAAACUCACCUCAAGGCAAUUUUACGGUAAAUAUAUAUAUACAUAUAUAUAUAUAUAAAAGUUGCUUUCUAAAAAUGAAAAAACAAGUUUCCAGAUGUCAGGAACCAUAUGCUAAAAAAAAUAAUACUUCACUUGUUGAAUAAAACUCUUAAUAAUCAGUCUCUCCCAAGCCAGGAUGUUUCUCAUCAAAGAAGAGAUUUUCAUUUUCAAUGCUGAAAAGAGGCGAAAGAUUCGUCUGGAAAAUGGGUUUGACUAAGCAGGCAAAGAGGAGGAGGGGCCCUUACAGCAUUCAUACAAUGACAAAUGUGCAGAUUACAAGGCUAACACAAGAUUAGUAAAGCAUGGCCAGUACAUCUCUUGUCAAGAAUCUUAGAAGUGAAUCACACUUAACAGGAGUCUCACCCGUGAUACUUGUCGGUAAAUGGGACAAGUCUCGAGGACAUCCGUGAAAGAUGUAAACCAAUGCUAAUUCAAAAGGUUGAACAUACAAUCCAGAUUCCAAAUUCCAAAAUUCCUGAUUUAAUUCUCCCCGGGAAGAUUCAGUGUCUUAAAAUCAAAAUCAGAAAACCACCAUAUUGGUCAGAUUAAUAUAACAGAGAUCAAUCAGUUCAUCAAUCCAAAAAUAAAAAAGCAAAAAGAAAAAAACAUAAAAAAAUAAUUUAACAAAUUAACAUGCGGAAAAGGUGAAGAACUGAAGAUUUACAAAUACAGAGGAGAAAUAAUUCGAGAACUGAAAAUUCAAAGGUAGAAGCACCGUAAAAGAGAGGAAAAAAAAUCUAACUAAAUGUCUAGGGUUAACACUGUUAACAGCAGCAAACUCCCUUUUAAAAGUUAACAUACCUUUGAAAUUCAAAGGUAGAAGACGUAGAAGCACUGCUCUAACCUCUGAUUCUGGAAUUGGGUAGAGCCGUGGAGGAUCGGAGUUGGAUCGGUGGAGGUGGAUUGGUGGAGGUGAAGGGUGAUUUUAAAAUUGGGAAAAAAAGGGAGGAUGGCACGGGCUUAGGAUUUUGAUCAGUGGAAGAGGAGAAAUGGGGAAAUUGCAGUGAUACGAGUCACAAAGGCCCAACUCAAGCUCAAGAACGUGAUGGGCUCAAAUUACCACAAUGUCCAAUAACGAGGUCAAAGGCUAGGAAAAUGCGUACGAAACUAAAUGGAUCCGUUCAAGACUUCAUUAGCAAGGCCUUAGAUGUUUAUACAGAGGAAAAAGAAAAUCAAGAUUCACUUUCUUGUUUUCAAGAAAAUCAAGAAACCAAAUCUUGGUCCAAUUUUGCUGUUUUGAGCGAUUGCAAGAAUCAAGAAAAUCAAGAUUUCAAAUCUUGAAAAUCUUGGUCCAAGAAACUGAAUCUUGCAGCUAAGACGCUUUGGAUCUCAGUUAUGAGCAUCAACGAAUCAAUUUCGGGAGAGAACAGAUUACAAGCCCAAGUUCUUGAAGAUACGACCCACUAAGAUAUUCCAAGCGCAACCAAGAAGUUUAAAUUAGACUUAGUUGAAAAUCAGACCAAAUUGUCAAAGUGGCCCAAUUUAAUUCUUUAAAUAUUUAGUUUUAAUUUUUAGACUUUAUGAAUAAAUUUCUAUGUAAAAAUUCAGUCCAAGAGGCUCAUUUAAAGGCCUUGGACGAAAUUCCCCUUUGAAAGUCAAAAUUAGGGUUUUUUUUAGUUUUCCUAGUAGGGCUAGGAAAGUACUUAGGAGGUCUAUAUAUAUGGCUUGGCCGGCCACCCUUAAUCACAUUACAUUGAAUUUUAGAUUUUUGUUGAGUGAAAAUUCUCUUUGAGUUUCUCCAAGAAUUUUCUCUUGGGUUUUCUUUAAAAGUAGUUUUAACAAUCUUUUUGAUUGUGGGAGCCAUCUUCAACCUUCUUAGGAGUUGUGAAAUCUUUCUUGAUUUCAAGGCUUCUUAGGACUUUUCUUUAUUUUUCUUGCUGUUUGUUCUUCUUUAAUUAUUCUUGUUUCUGCCGAAUUGUUGAUUACUUGAUUUAAUUGCUUUUGUUGCGUUUCAGCCACUCCAAGCUUCAAGAUCCUGUUUGGCAACAUUCUUUGGCAUCAAGAAACGUCCUUUAUUCAUAAAUUUCAAUCUUUCUUGCCGCCCAAGUUUCCUACUUCCACUUCAAUUUGGUUUUCUUGGUCUUUUGAAUAUAAUUUUCUGUUUUUUUUUUGUUUCACCCCAAGUGUCUAUAGCUUUGGUAAGACUUUCCCGUGACUUGACAAGCUCGAUUUGGUCCUCGCGCAAUCCUCUAUCAUGCAGUGUAUUUUAAAAAUAAAAAAUAUAUAUUUAUUAUAUAUUUAUUAUAAAGAAUUACAGCGCAGAUAAAUAUCACACAUCACAACCACAAGUAAAUUAACAGGCUUAAUAGGGUGCAUCUCACCAUCAAUAACGAAUUAAAGAACAAAAUUAAAAUCGUGUCUGAUAAUUGCUUUGCAGCGACUGGUGCUGCCUCAGCCGGUCUGCCACGCCUAACAAUUGGAAGCAUGUGGAAAUCAAUCGCUGAAAAUGAAAAAGAAAUUACGAUAAAAUAUGAGAGAUAAGAGAUACGUUUUAAGAAGAGAAAGAGAAACAGGAAAGCAUGUAGCUAAUGUCAGCAAACCUAUACUAUACAACCCUCAUUCGGAGUUUCCAAUGAAGGGGUCAUGACCUAAAGAAGCCAACAUGGUCUAUGCCAUGCAAGGAAUUAACUAUUAAACUCCAAGCUUAAUUGUUUGCCAAAGCAAAGCAGUAUAUGUAUUAAGAGAAAGUGAUAAACUUACAGUUGAACCUACUUUUGAAAGUGUUGAACCAUUAGCAGAUGCAACAACCCCUGGAUAUUAAAAGAAUCAGAUCCAAGUACAAAGAAAUAUUAUGUCACAUGAAAGUUUCAUAGUUAUUUCCCUUUUCUUUUACUAACCAAGGGCAAUGGUGGCUUCUCUUGCUCUUCCAAGCGGAGGAGCAUCAGGACGUAUAGACUCUAAAAGAUGUUUCUCGUAGAAGUGAAGGGGAAAGAGGCGUCUGAAAGCAUCUACCUCAACUUCAGUUGACAAGUCACCGCUUGCAUUUGGUAAUCCCAUCGUCAACCUAUUUUCUUGUGAUCGAAAAAUGGGAAAAAAACACAUUUAUACCCAUCCAUUUUCAAAAAUUAUAUUUCAUUCAUUUUAAAAUGUUGUUUUCAAGGUAAUAGUACCAUGGAAGCCCUUGUACUAGAAGUUUGAUUGCUUUUUGCCUUUUCUACUAAAAAAAUAAGCAAAUUAGUCAUUGUAAUUUAAAUCAAAUAGCAAAUUGGUCCUUGUGUUAAAAUUUUCAUUCAUUUCUACUAUUAAAAAAUAGUCCCUAUACGUCAGAAAAAGGUACAUGUCACGCGUCAAAUAUAAUUGUCUGGUUAUUCCGUCAGCCACUUUAGAUGAAAAUUUUUUAUUGAAAGGCCUAGUUUACUCUUUGAUUUAAUGUACAGGGGCAAAAGGGUUUCCAUGCCGUUUUUUCCAUUAAAUAUGUGUUUUAGUUGUACAAGCAGCAUCAAUAUUUUAUAAUUUUAGCAGAACUUUCUACAUAAACAAUUCUAAUUCAUCAAUAAAUUAGCAUAAUCGAAAAACUACUAAUGCUCAGUAUUAAUAUUUGAAACAUAAACUCAUGCAACGUGUCGAAACCAUUUUUAUUUUUUGGAAAAAAAACAAAUUAGUUGUCGAUAAAAAUUUAGAGUCGCCACCAAUCUUUUAUUGAGGUGUGAUUGGAUCACCUAAAAUGACUUUGGUCUACGAGUUUUAGAAAAACAGGUUCGGGAGUCAGUUACGUACAAGGAAGGAUUAGCACCUUCGUAACGCCCAAAAUUUGGUACCAAGUUGAUUAAUUAGUGUCUUAAUGUCGAGAGUUAAUAAAUACGAUCCUUAGUUAAAUUAAAUUAUUUAUUAGGACUUUCUCAUUUUGUAAAAAGAAAAUAUCACACCCAAUACGUUAGGGCACAAUAUUUUAUUCUUUUCAAGAUGAGUUGGUCAAAAAAACUCGUGUAAUAAAAUUUAAGAAAAUAUUUAAUUGCUUAAAAUUUAGGAAGAAAUCACAGCCCAAUACGUUAGGGCACGAUUUCUUAAAAUCCCAAACAUUAAAUAUUUCCUUUAUUUUUUUUAAAAUAUUUAUCUCGAGAAAUUAACGCGUCACAUCCAAUACGUUAGGACACAACAUAUUGAAUUCCCGAUGACAAGUUUUAUUUUGUUUGAUUAAAGAGCAAUCCUCAAUUGUUAGAUUUUACAAAGAAAAUUGGAACCGAAUACGUUAGGGCUCAAUUUUCUUGAAAAUCCUAAAUACGAGUAUUAUCUUUAUUUUGAAAAUUUUCUAUUUUUAAAAUUUGAGUAAAAGAUGAUGUAAUGUUAUAUUGAAUGCAUGAAUAAAUGCAUCUUUAACAAAUAUCAAUAAUAAAUACAACAAUUGUAUAGAAAUAAUAUAAAUAAAUAAAUCAAUAAAAAUAAAUCAAUAACAUUCAAAGCAUCAAAUAAACAAGCAAUAAAAAUAAUAUAAAUGAAAACAUAAAUUAAUAAACAAAUGAAAGAAAUAAACAAAAAAUAUAAAGAAUAAAAGGUACAUAAUAUAUACAUUGAACUUAUGAAGAAUAAGAAGAUGUGCACAAGGAUUUACACACAAAAUCUAGAAUUAUAAAAUUUAUAUAACUAAAUAUAAUGUAUUUAUGAAAAUAAAAAAAUACAUAAGUAUAUAUAUAUAAAAUAAAAUAUGUAUUUGAAAAUAUAAAUAUGUAUUUAAGUAUUUUCAAAAAUAUAAAAAAUAUGUACGUAUGUAUGUAUAAAUAUAAUAGAAUAUUCAAAAAAAAUAAAUAUGUAUACAUGUAAAAUACAUUAAAGAUAAUUAAAUAAUAUCUACAUUAUCAAAAUUAAUUAAAUAAAAAAAUAAAUAUAUGUGUAUAUAUAAAUAUGAGAAAAAUAUUAGUUGAAAAAAAAUAAAUAUGUACAUAUAAGAAAAAUAUAUUUGUGUGUGAAUUAUAAAAAAUAAAAAAAUAAAAAUAAAUAUACCUAUUUUAAUAUGUAAUAUAUAUAUAAGUAUGUAUAUAAAGUUAUGAAACAUAGAAAAUAUAUAAAAGUAUGUGUAUAUAUAUAUUAAAAAAAUAUAAGGCAAAAUAAAAUGUAAACAAAUUUGAAAAUAAUGAAUUUGAAAAUGAAUAAUAAGGGAAAAAUUUGAAAUCAACAAUACAAAUCAAUAAAUAAAUUAUACACAAAUCAACAAAAUAAGAACAAACCACAGAAAAUAAGAACGCAAAAGAGAAAAUUUUGAGUGAAUACUUUAAGAAUUAUUAUUACUCCUCACUUCCGUCCCUUACAAUGAAGGGAGAGACCUCUAUUUAUAGUUGAGCCUCCCUAAAUCCAACGGUACAGAUCAAUUACAUCAACGGCUAAGAUUAAAGGGUAUCUACAAAUUAAAUCUCUAAGAUUAAAAAAAUCAUAUAUUCUAAGAUUGCAUAUCAUAUCUAAUAUUGCAUAUAUCAUAUCUAAGAUUGCAUAUCCUUAAAGAUUAUGUUUCCAUAAACUUGUAGAUGGACCUUCAACUUUUUCAAGUAAUGGGCCAUUCCGAUCGGGUUAAAUGAUAUUACUGGACUUAAAAUUUGUUUUAUUAUUUUGGGUUUAUUAUUUUUUUCGUGAGCUCGAGCUAAAAUUGGGUAUUACACAACGAUAAUAAAAAAAAUAAACAAAUCAGAAACGAGAAAUAACCCACCAUACAAAGAAAGGGAAAAAUGAUGAAAACACCCAAUAAGAAGCCAAAGAAAAAUGGGACUUAAAAUUGGUGAACAGGAGCAAAUAAACAAUCUCAAUCAAGGGACAAAAAAGGGUCGUUUUCUUUGUGUUUAUUGUCAAACUGAUUCUAAAAAAAAAAACGAUGAAUAAAACACUCUAAAACUUGAAAUGAAACAAGGAAAAAAUAUAAAAUUAUUAUAUAUGAGAAUAAAAGAAACCUGUUUCCGGUGUAUCUUAGAAAAUCGAUGGAAGGCAACGACGGCGAAACAAUUAACAGAGAAGAAUGGAAGUGACGAAAAGAAAAUAGCAAGGGCUCGGCAUUCACUAAGAAGCAUUUUUCAUUCUCAAUUUCAUUUUCUUUAAAAAGUGUAAUGGGGGCAAAUCCGGUCAUCUCAAGCAAACUAAAUGGGUUAAUGUCUUUGUUAGCUCCCAAAUUUUCACCUACAGUGUAAUUUAGUACCUGUAAAAAAAUAUAAUUUAAUCAUCAGUAUCAUACCCUGCUGGUCUUCUACCUGUACCAAGACGUUUAAGUUUCGUUCCGGUCAAUAUUUUAAUAUGUUUGUUUUGCAUGUUUCAAUGUGCUUUGGCUCAUUCUAGCCGAUACCGACCCAUAUCAGUUGACACAAAAUUUUGAUACUUUAAAUUUAUCUUUUAAUUUUUUAUCUUAAACAUUUUAACUUUUUAUAAUUACGUUUAAAAUUAAAAUAAACUGAAACUAUUGAACCAAUUAAUAGAUUUAAAACUUAUUUUUACAUAUAAAUAGAUGUAAUUGAGAUAUAUUUGUUUGUAUAUAUAACAUAUAAUACUCGAAGCCUUGGCGCUGUGCACUCAUAACAAAAAGUAAUUAAGAAAUUCUUCGGUGCAUUUAGAAUAUAAAAUCCUUCAAAAAUAAGAAAAACAAUUAAAUAAUAUAGCAUAAAGAAUCCAACAAAAACAAUAAACAAGGAACAUCACAUGAUUCUUGGGUCACGGCAAUAAUAUUUUUGUUUUUUUUAUAUUACUUUAACAAAUAUAAAACUAAAAAUACAACAUCAACCAAAUUAUAUAUAUAUUUUUUCAUUCAGGCUAAAUGUAAUUGAAGGCCUUUUAUUAUAAUUUCGUUUAUAGGCGAUUAUCAUCAGUUCUUCAUGGCGCAUCUCUCUGUGCAAGUAUUGACGCAAGCUGCAACUUCCCUUGCAGCUGACAAAAACAAGACAAAUCGUUAAGUUAAUAUACAUACUUACAUACCAUCAAAUAAAUAUAUAAAACGAAAAAAGAAAAAUUACCAGGCAACCUCCCUUGGCUGCUUAGCAUCGAACAUGUCAGGGCAGCACACCCAACAAUGCAGAAUACGGAACUGCUCGUGAGGUGGGUUUCCUCCAGAGUCUCCACAAGCGCUUCUGACGGCAGGCAACGUUGAAUACAAUCCCCAAGGGAAGUUCCGUUGGGGACGCAAGUAGUUACACAAAAUGCAUACCCAAAUUCAAUCGGGGCGAGUGCUGUAACAGCUUGAAGGGAGAGACUAACAAGGAUCAACAACAGCAAACAGAAAAUCAACGCUCAUUAUUUCCCCCCAUUAUGUAUAUAUUUAAUUUGAUUUCAUGAUGAUUAUUUUGCACUGCUUUAUAUAGGUCUUAUAUAGAUUUUGAUUGUCAUGCCAAACAGCCAAACUGCCAAACUACCAAACUGCCUUAUUGAAUGUAAAAUUAAGACGUCAAACCAUAAUGCCAAAAUUUGAUUGAAUGCAAAAUUAAGAGAAAAUUUCUAUACCUAAUCAAAGUAAUAUGAAAUGGAUUUGUCAAGCCAAACUACAUGGAAAAUGCUUGAAUGUCUUGUCUUUUUUUUAGAAUUCUUCCUAACAAUCUAAAUUCUUCCUAACCAUUCAAAAUAUUCUGAUUGUCAAUCUUCUUUCUCAGAUGUCAUGAAUCACAAAUGAACACUAAACCUUUAACUUCAUAUUUUAAACAUUAACAUCGAAGUAAACACUUAAUCCGUGCAAAUAAAAUCUUGAUUCUCACCUUCACAGUGACUGUAUCCAUCUCCUUUGAAUUGCUCGCCAUCAACCAAGAGACAUUCACAAACUCUUCCUCGAAAUGUAUCUUAAGAAGCAAAUCAAUAUAUUCAAAUAAGCUCAUGGAGUAGAGAAUCCCUAUCAAAUCUGUUUCGAUUCAUACCCUGCAGGCUGUGAGAUUUGCUGCUUUUUCUUGCCAACAACCACCAUCAUUUUCCAAGCAUUCAUUCGUCUCCACAUCUGUGAAAAAAGUAACCGUCAUCACUGGUGUUUCAAAUAACAACUGGACAGUAAGUUGAAACACUACACUGGAUUUCUAAAAGCCUAGCUCUCGCCUAUGUUACUUAGUGUGAGAGUUGGAUAAGGCAUAUGUCUGACAUGGAUACGUGCAAGUUGUUCUUCAUUUUUCCUGUAUUCAGAGUGUUUUUGGAGGGUCACAUCCCCAUACUCGUAGAUGAAAACGUGUCAGACACGGGUUCUUAGAAAACUGGUACUUCAAGCAAAACUGAGACUCAGAGAAACUUAGCUCUAAACCACUUUAUCCAUACUGGAGAAAACUAUACGCCAUUACUACGAAAUUCUUAGAUAACCAGCAUUUUGAAAUUCAUUUUUAUUAUCAUACAUCUGCCUUGAGAACCAACCCAACCCAAAGCAUAUAUGUUCACUUGGACUCUGGGUGUGAGUUUCAAAUACAGGUAUGUGUUUGACACGGAUAUAUUCAAAUUUUUGUUCAUGUACCUAGAAGGAUCUUUGAAAAAUCAGAUCACCGUACACAUGUUCGGAUAUUGAGUCUAAAACUGGUACUUAAAGCAAAACCAAGAAUCUGAGAAACUUAGCUCUACUUUUGUAGACACCUCUAAGGCUACAUCCCUAUGAAAGGAGGGAAAUGAAGCUAAAUGAAUGGACCUAAUUUCAGAAAACAACUAGUAAGAUAAAAAGAGAGAAAGACAUCCGUCCAAACAACUUAAAGCAAAGCUGAAAACAAGUAAAUUAAUUCAUAAAUGAACGGAUAAAUAUAUAAAUAAUGAUAAUGAAAUCAAUGGAAACUGAUAAACCUAAAUUUAUUUAAAUGAAUUAGUUAAAAUAUAAUAACAUAAAUCCAAGUAGAUGGAAAAACCAAAUCUAUUAACCCUCAAAUCCCAAACUAUCAAAUAGAUUAUUGCCCCAUAAAUAAACCAAAUCCAACAAAUUGAACUUUAAACCUACUAUUUAAAUUCCCCAAUUUGGAAUUACUCAAAUUAGCUAAAACAACACAAAAAUUCCUCAUUGAUCAACCCUACAACAAACAAAUUAUAGCUCAAAUAAACAAAACCAUAGAUUAAUUUUUCUUAGAAGGCGAAAAUUUUGAAAAAAAGAAGAAGAAAAGUGUACCUCCACGAUCGACCAGAACAUAGGUAGGAAGAGAACCAGGCUUGGAUAUAACCGAAAUCCCAAAGUCAUCAAAACCUUUACAAGCUUUUCGGUUUUCUUCAGGGUAAACCACAACACCAGCCAUGCUUCCACCACAUUGAGGUAUCCCAAAGUUCCCAAUCGCACUAUCAUGGGUUGCUUUAAUCUUCUCCGGCGAUGUUACCGCCAAGCUCUUCUUUUCCACCACGAAUCUCGCGUAACAAUUGCGUAUCAAAGAUAAUAAAAUAAACACUUGAGGAAGAUGAUGAUGAUGGAAUGUUCGUAGCUCCAUAUCUUUACUUUUGGUUUUGGAUUUGGAUUGGAUCAGUUUUAAGGACGAUACUGAUGAAGAAGAUGAAGAUCGUGUAUGAAAAACAUGUAAAAUGAAAUGGUUUUUUUGAAAAAAAUAAAAACAGUGAAAAUCGCCAUUAAAUAAUUCUAUGAUUCUUUUAUUUGUUUUAAAUGAAUUUAGAACACAGUUAGUGAAAUUUUGACACGCUACUAAUAAAUAAUCUUAGUCAUUUAUAGAUUAAACAUUUUUCUUUUUUUUAAACAGUGCAAUGAGACCAAAUCCAGUCAUCUGAAGUAAACUUAAUGGGUUUAUGUUUUUCUUAGCCCCUAAAUUUUCACCUACCGUUUAAUUUAGUACAUGUUAAAAAAAAUCCAAUUUAGUCAUUUGUAUUAUACGUGACGGUCUUCUACAUAUACGAAGUCGUUUAAGUUUCGUUCCGGUGAAGAUUUCAAUAUGCUUAGCAUGUUCCAAAGUCCUUUGGCCCAUUCUAGCCAGUAUCGGCCCGUAUCAAUUGGUACAAAAUUUUGAUAUUUAAACUUAUCUUUUAAUUUUUUAUCUUAAACAUUUUAACUUUUUAUAACUACGUUUAAAAUUAAAAUAAACUGAAGCUAUUGAACCAAUUAAUAGAUUUAAAACUUAUUUUUACAUAUAGAUAGAUGUAAUUGAAAUAUAUCAAGAAAUUUUUCGAUGCAUUUAGCACAUAAAAUCCUCCAAAAAAUAAGGAAAACAGUUAAAUAAUAUAACAUGAAGGAUUCAACAAAAACAACCAACAAGGAACAUCACAUUAUUCUUGGAUAACGGCAAUAAUUGUAUCAUUACUGAUUAUCAUCAGUUCUUCAUGGCGCAUCUCUCUAUGCAGGUAUUGACGCAGCCGACAACUUCCUUUGAAGCUGACAAAAACAAAACAAAUCAUUAAGUUAAUAUACGUACUUACUUACCAUCAAAUAUUAAUAUAAAACGGAAAAAGAAAAAUUACCAGGCAUCCUCCCUUGGCUGCUUAGCAUUGAACAUGUCAUGGCAGCACACCCAACAGUGCAGAAUACGGAGCUGCUCGCGAGGUGGGUUUCCUCCAAUGUCUCCACCAGUGCUUCUGACGGCAGGCAGCGUUGAAUACAUUCCCCAAGGGAAGUUCCGUUGGCGACGCAAGUCGUUACGCAAAAAGUAUACCCAAGUCCAAUCGGGACAAGUGCUGUAACAGCUUGACGCGAGGGACUAACAAGGAUCAACAACAGCAAACAGAACAUCAACGCCAAUGAUUUCCCCCCCAUUAUGUAUAUAUUUGAUUUGAUUUGAUAAUGAUUUUUUUGCACUGCUUGAUAUCGGUGUUAUAUACACUUUGAUUGUCAUGCCAAACUACCAAACUGCCUAAUUAAGAUGCCAAACUAUAAUGCCAAAAUUUGAUUGAAUGCAAAAUUAAAAGAACAUUUCUAUAAGUAAUCAAAAUAAUUUGAAAUGAAUUUGUCAUGCCAAACUACAUGGAAAAUGUCUAAUGUCUUGUCCUUUUUUUAGAAUUCUUCCUAAUAAUCUAAAUUCUUCCUAACCAUCCCAAAUAUUCUGAUUGUCAAUGUUCUUUCUCAGAUGUCAUGAAUCACAAAUGAACACUAAACCUUUAACUUCAUAUUUUAAACAUUAACAUCGAAGUAAACACUUAAACCGUGCAAAUAAAAUCUUGAUUCUCACCUUCACAGUGACUGUAUCCAUCUCCUUUGAUUUGCUCGCUAUCAACCAAGAGACAUUCACAAACUCUUCCUCGAAAUGUAUCUUAAGAAGAAAAUCAAUAUAUUCAAAUAAGCUCAUGGAGUAGAGAAUCCCUAUCAAAUCUGUUUCGAUUCAUACCCUGCAGGCUGUGAGAUUUGCUGCUUUUUCUUGCCAACAACCACCAUCAUUUUCCAAGCAUUCAUUCGUCUCCACAUCUGUGAAAAAAGUAACCGCCAUCACUGGUGUUUCAAAUAACAACUGGACAGUAAGUUGAAACACUACACUGGAUUUCUAAAAGCCUAGCUCUCGCCUAUGUUACUUAGUGUGAGAGUUGGAUAAGACAUAUGUCUGACAUGGACAUGUGCAAGUUGUUCUUCAUUUUCCCUGUAUUCAGAGUGUUUUUGGAGGGUCACAUCCCCAUACUCGUCUAUGAAAACGUGUCAGACACGGGUUCUCAAGAGAGGUAAAGAGUCAGCACCCCUAAGUGGAACCAGACUAAAAUACUUCUCUUGCAAGAAAAAUAAAACAAGACAAACUCACCACCACUCGAACAAACAGCUGGUUCAGUAGUCUCCUCGAAGCCGGCACAUAUGGCCUUCAAAACAGCACCUUUGGCCAGCUUUCCUGCAUGCAGAUAUGUUAAACGCGGAAAGCACCCAAAAUUUUAUCUGGGAAAUACGGGUAUAAAUACGAACCUCGAUAUUGGCGAUUGUUGACAACAAGUCUAGGCAAUAUGGUAACAUCUCCUCUAGAUCCUUUCCCCGCCUAUGAAAAUGUUUCUAUUAAAUAGCCUCAAAAAGGUCAAAGAAGACAACGAAUUGGAAAAAGAGUAGUGAAACAUAAAAUAUCUUAGCCUGAGAGGACUACUUGAGCAUCUUGUUCUUCUUCCAGAACAGGAUUCUCCAUAUCAGCAUCUGGAUCUCCCAAACACUUUUCGAUCUUUUUAGCGUCAAGCCCUGAAUGGAUGACAAAGGAAUAUCAUCAAUUUAUUACUAGUUUCCAGCAAGAUUUUGAGUUUUCACUGUGCUAUUAAUACUAACAGAAAUUUGAAGAUAAACCGAGGAUCUUCCAAUUAACUGUUUACCAAGAGAUUUGAUAACACCGUCUGCACAUUCCUUAUUAUAUCUUUUCUACUUCAUUGGCCAUCUUAUUUCAAAAUCAGUCACAUAGUCCCACCACACCCAAGGCCUAUUGGUCUCAUUUGCCACUUUGAAAACGCAAAGCUGCCUUAAGGUCUCAAUAACUACAUCUUUCCCUUCAUAACCUGAGCUAAAACCUUGUUCAGGAUCCGGUGCACAGUAUCUUCCGCGGUUGAUGCAUUGAGAUAUGCACUGCCGGCUUAGGGUGAAAGCUUGAGGGCAGUACCAAGUUAUAUAAUGGGGUGUGAACUGCGUAUAGCCACCUUUUUCGAGAAUCUUAGCAGCACCCUUGAAAUCCUUCACAAAUGCCAUCAGCAUAUCGCAUUUAACUCCACAUUCAUCAUUGCUCUUGGUCCAUAACUCGUACUCGUCACGAUCAUCAGGGUUAGAGUUUCACCAGAAGUUUUCUCGAUAAGGGCAGAUGAACUGUCCUCUUCGCGAUUGUCCCUGGUUAUUAAUGCUUCUUCUAUGUCAUCCGCAACAAGCACUGCAGAAGCACUGCUUGCCAUACAUUCCAAAUCUUUAAAGCAAAGAAGCAAUCUGGAGAAAUAAUAAGAAAAAAGGCGCUAAAUGCAGUCUCCGCAAAUAUAUAUAUAUAUCAAAAACUAAAGAAAAAUUACAUCUAAGACCAUAACUCAAUCAAGGACAAUAAGCAAAUUUUACAACCUUGGCAGCAACUGGAGUCCGUAUAUAGGCAACACUUCAGAUUUUUCUCAUCUCUUUAACAGUGUAAUCACAUUAUAGUAAUGUAACUGAAUUAUCUAAUCCGGAAGUAACUAUAAGCCAUUACUACCUAAUGCUUAGAUCAACCAGCAUUCUGAACCUCAUUUUUAUCACCAUACAUCUGUUUGAGAACCAACCAAACUCAAAUCGUACACUCUAAAUCUAUGUUCACUCGGACUCGGGUAUGAGUUUCAAAUGUAGGCACAUGUUUGAGACGGAUAUGUUAGUUUUGGUUUUUCAUGUAUCUGGAGGAUCUUUGAAAAGUCAUGUGUCGCCCAUAUGCAUGUUCGGAUAUUGAGUCUAGAACGGGUACUUCAGACGGAUAUCCAGAGGAUCAUUAACAGCAUAAUCGCGUUGCAGUAAUGUAACUGAAUUAUCUAAUCCGGAGGUAACUAUAAGCCAUUACUACGAAAUGCUUAGAUCACCAUUAUUUUGAAACUCGUUUUUAUUAUCAUCCAUCUGUUUAAGAACCAACCAAACUCAAAUCAUACACUCUAAAUCUCUGUUUACUCCGACUUGGGUAUGAGUUUCAAAUAAAGGUAUGUGUUUGACACUGAUAUAUUCAAUUUUUCUUCAUGUACCUAGGGGAUCUUUGAGAAGACAUAUCACCGCACACAUGUUCAGAUAUUGAGUCCAAAACCGGUACUUCAAGCAAAACUGAGACUCAGAGAAACUUAGCUCUAAACCACUUUAUCCAUACUGGAGAAAACUAUACGCCAUUACUACGAAAUUCUUAGAUAACCAGCAUUUUGAAAUUCAUUUUUAUUAUCAUACAUCUGCCUUGAGAACCAACCCAACCCAAAGCAUAUAUGUUCACUUGGACUCUGGGUGUGAGUUUCAAAUACAGGUAUGUGUUUGACACGGAUAUAUUCAAAUUUUUGUUCAUGUACCUAGAAGGAUCUUUGAAAAAUCAGAUCACCGUACACAUGUUCGGAUAUUGAGUCUAAAACUGGUACUUAAAGCAAAACCAAGAAUCUGAGAAACUUAGCUCUACUUUUGUAGACACCUCUAAGGCUACAUCCCUAUGAAAGGAGGGAAAUGAAGCUAAAUGAAUGGACCUAAUUUCAGAAAACAACUAGUAAGAUAAAAAGAGAGAAAGACAUCCGUCCAAACAACUUAAAGCAAAGCUGAAAACAAGUAAAUUAAUUCAUAAAUGAACGGAUAAAUAUAUAAAUAAUGAUAAUGAAAUCAAUGGAAACUGAUAAACCUAAAUUUAUUUAAAUGAAUUAGUUAAAAUAUAAUAACAUAAAUCCAAGUAGAUGGAAAAACCAAAUCUAUUAACCCUCAAAUCCCAAACUAUCAAAUAGAUUAUUGCCCCAUAAAUAAACCAAAUCCAACAAAUUGAACUUUAAACCUACUAUUUAAAUUCCCCAAUUUGGAAUUACUCAAAUUAGCUAAAACAACACAAAAAUUCCUCAUUGAUCAACCCUACAACAAACAAAUUAUAGCUCAAAUAAACAAAACCAUAGAUUAAUUUUUCUUAGAAGGCGAAAAUUUUGAAAAAAAGAAGAAGAAAAGUGUACCUCCACGAUCGACCAGAACAUAGGUAGGAAGAGAACCAGGCUUGGAUAUAACCGAAAUCCCAAAGUCAUCAAAACCUUUACAAGCUUUUCGGUUUUCUUCAGGGUAAACCACAACACCAGCCAUGCUUCCACCACAUUGAGGUAUCCCAAAGUUCCCAAUCGCACUAUCAUGGGUUGCUUUAAUCUUCUCCGGCGAUGUUACCGCCAAGCUCUUCUUUUCCACCACGAAUCUCGCGUAACAAUUGCGUAUCAAAGAUAAUAAAAUAAACACUUGAGGAAGAUGAUGAUGAUGGAAUGUUCGUAGCUCCAUAUCUUUACUUUUGGUUUUGGAUUUGGAUUGGAUCAGUUUUAAGGACGAUACUGAUGAAGAAGAUGAAGAUCGUGUAUGAAAAACAUGUAAAAUGAAAUGGUUUUUUUGAAAAAAAUAAAAACAGUGAAAAUCGCCAUUAAAUAAUUCUAUGAUUCUUUUAUUUGUUUUAAAUGAAUUUAGAACACAGUUAGUGAAAUUUUGACACGCUACUAAUAAAUAAUCUUAGUCAUUUAUAGAUUAAACAUUUUUCUUUUUUUUAAACAGUGCAAUGAGACCAAAUCCAGUCAUCUGAAGUAAACUUAAUGGGUUUAUGUUUUUCUUAGCCCCUAAAUUUUCACCUACCGUUUAAUUUAGUACAUGUUAAAAAAAAUCCAAUUUAGUCAUUUGUAUUAUACGUGACGGUCUUCUACAUAUACGAAGUCGUUUAAGUUUCGUUCCGGUGAAGAUUUCAAUAUGCUUAGCAUGUUCCAAAGUCCUUUGGCCCAUUCUAGCCAGUAUCGGCCCGUAUCAAUUGGUACAAAAUUUUGAUAUUUAAACUUAUCUUUUAAUUUUUUAUCUUAAACAUUUUAACUUUUUAUAACUACGUUUAAAAUUAAAAUAAACUGAAGCUAUUGAACCAAUUAAUAGAUUUAAAACUUAUUUUUACAUAUAGAUAGAUGUAAUUGAAAUAUAUCAAGAAAUUUUUCGAUGCAUUUAGCACAUAAAAUCCUCCAAAAAAUAAGGAAAACAGUUAAAUAAUAUAACAUGAAGGAUUCAACAAAAACAACCAACAAGGAACAUCACAUUAUUCUUGGAUAACGGCAAUAAUUGUAUCAUUACUGAUUAUCAUCAGUUCUUCAUGGCGCAUCUCUCUAUGCAGGUAUUGACGCAGCCGACAACUUCCUUUGAAGCUGACAAAAACAAAACAAAUCAUUAAGUUAAUAUACGUACUUACUUACCAUCAAAUAUUAAUAUAAAACGGAAAAAGAAAAAUUACCAGGCAUCCUCCCUUGGCUGCUUAGCAUUGAACAUGUCAUGGCAGCACACCCAACAGUGCAGAAUACGGAGCUGCUCGCGAGGUGGGUUUCCUCCAAUGUCUCCACCAGUGCUUCUGACGGCAGGCAGCGUUGAAUACAUUCCCCAAGGGAAGUUCCGUUGGCGACGCAAGUCGUUACGCAAAAAGUAUACCCAAGUCCAAUCGGGACAAGUGCUGUAACAGCUUGACGCGAGGGACUAACAAGGAUCAACAACAGCAAACAGAACAUCAACGCCAAUGAUUUCCCCCCCAUUAUGUAUAUAUUUGAUUUGAUUUGAUAAUGAUUUUUUUGCACUGCUUGAUAUCGGUGUUAUAUACACUUUGAUUGUCAUGCCAAACUACCAAACUGCCUAAUUAAGAUGCCAAACUAUAAUGCCAAAAUUUGAUUGAAUGCAAAAUUAAAAGAACAUUUCUAUAAGUAAUCAAAAUAAUUUGAAAUGAAUUUGUCAUGCCAAACUACAUGGAAAAUGUCUAAUGUCUUGUCCUUUUUUUAGAAUUCUUCCUAAUAAUCUAAAUUCUUCCUAACCAUCCCAAAUAUUCUGAUUGUCAAUGUUCUUUCUCAGAUGUCAUGAAUCACAAAUGAACACUAAACCUUUAACUUCAUAUUUUAAACAUUAACAUCGAAGUAAACACUUAAACCGUGCAAAUAAAAUCUUGAUUCUCACCUUCACAGUGACUGUAUCCAUCUCCUUUGAUUUGCUCGCUAUCAACCAAGAGACAUUCACAAACUCUUCCUCGAAAUGUAUCUUAAGAAGAAAAUCAAUAUAUUCAAAUAAGCUCAUGGAGUAGAGAAUCCCUAUCAAAUCUGUUUCGAUUCAUACCCUGCAGGCUGUGAGAUUUGCUGCUUUUUCUUGCCAACAACCACCAUCAUUUUCCAAGCAUUCAUUCGUCUCCACAUCUGUGAAAAAAGUAACCGCCAUCACUGGUGUUUCAAAUAACAACUGGACAGUAAGUUGAAACACUACACUGGAUUUCUAAAAGCCUAGCUCUCGCCUAUGUUACUUAGUGUGAGAGUUGGAUAAGACAUAUGUCUGACAUGGACAUGUGCAAGUUGUUCUUCAUUUUCCCUGUAUUCAGAGUGUUUUUGGAGGGUCACAUCCCCAUACUCGUCUAUGAAAACGUGUCAGACACGGGUUCUCAAGAGAGGUAAAGAGUCAGCACCCCUAAGUGGAACCAGACUAAAAUACUUCUCUUGCAAGAAAAAUAAAACAAGACAAACUCACCACCACUCGAACAAACAGCUGGUUCAGUAGUCUCCUCGAAGCCGGCACAUAUGGCCUUCAAAACAGCACCUUUGGCCAGCUUUCCUGCAUGCAGAUAUGUUAAACGCGGAAAGCACCCAAAAUUUUAUCUGGGAAAUACGGGUAUAAAUACGAACCUCGAUAUUGGCGAUUGUUGACAACAAGUCUAGGCAAUAUGGUAACAUCUCCUCUAGAUCCUUUCCCCGCCUAUGAAAAUGUUUCUAUUAAAUAGCCUCAAAAAGGUCAAAGAAGACAACGAAUUGGAAAAAGAGUAGUGAAACAUAAAAUAUCUUAGCCUGAGAGGACUACUUGAGCAUCUUGUUCUUCUUCCAGAACAGGAUUCUCCAUAUCAGCAUCUGGAUCUCCCAAACACUUUUCGAUCUUUUUAGCGUCAAGCCCUGAAUGGAUGACAAAGGAAUAUCAUCAAUUUAUUACUAGUUUCCAGCAAGAUUUUGAGUUUUCACUGUGCUAUUAAUACUAACAGAAAUUUGAAGAUAAACCGAGGAUCUUCCAAUUAACUGUUUACCAAGAGAUUUGAUAACACCGUCUGCACAUUCCUUAUUAUAUCUUUUCUACUUCAUUGGCCAUCUUAUUUCAAAAUCAGUCACAUAGUCCCACCACACCCAAGGCCUAUUGGUCUCAUUUGCCACUUUGAAAACGCAAAGCUGCCUUAAGGUCUCAAUAACUACAUCUUUCCCUUCAUAACCUGAGCUAAAACCUUGUUCAGGAUCCGGUGCACAGUAUCUUCCGCGGUUGAUGCAUUGAGAUAUGCACUGCCGGCUUAGGGUGAAAGCUUGAGGGCAGUACCAAGUUAUAUAAUGGGGUGUGAACUGCGUAUAGCCACCUUUUUCGAGAAUCUUAGCAGCACCCUUGAAAUCCUUCACAAAUGCCAUCAGCAUAUCGCAUUUAACUCCACAUUCAUCAUUGCUCUUGGUCCAUAACUCGUACUCGUCACGAUCAUCAGGGUUAGAGUUUCACCAGAAGUUUUCUCGAUAAGGGCAGAUGAACUGUCCUCUUCGCGAUUGUCCCUGGUUAUUAAUGCUUCUUCUAUGUCAUCCGCAACAAGCACUGCAGAAGCACUGCUUGCCAUACAUUCCAAAUCUUUAAAGCAAAGAAGCAAUCUGGAGAAAUAAUAAGAAAAAAGGCGCUAAAUGCAGUCUCCGCAAAUAUAUAUAUAUAUCAAAAACUAAAGAAAAAUUACAUCUAAGACCAUAACUCAAUCAAGGACAAUAAGCAAAUUUUACAACCUUGGCAGCAACUGGAGUCCGUAUAUAGGCAACACUUCAGAUUUUUCUCAUCUCUUUAACAGUGUAAUCACAUUAUAGUAAUGUAACUGAAUUAUCUAAUCCGGAAGUAACUAUAAGCCAUUACUACCUAAUGCUUAGAUCAACCAGCAUUCUGAACCUCAUUUUUAUCACCAUACAUCUGUUUGAGAACCAACCAAACUCAAAUCGUACACUCUAAAUCUAUGUUCACUCGGACUCGGGUAUGAGUUUCAAAUGUAGGCACAUGUUUGAGACGGAUAUGUUAGUUUUGGUUUUUCAUGUAUCUGGAGGAUCUUUGAAAAGUCAUGUGUCGCCCAUAUGCAUGUUCGGAUAUUGAGUCUAGAACGGGUACUUCAGACGGAUAUCCAGAGGAUCAUUAACAGCAUAAUCGCGUUGCAGUAAUGUAACUGAAUUAUCUAAUCCGGAGGUAACUAUAAGCCAUUACUACGAAAUGCUUAGAUCACCAUUAUUUUGAAACUCGUUUUUAUUAUCAUCCAUCUGUUUAAGAACCAACCAAACUCAAAUCAUACACUCUAAAUCUCUGUUUACUCCGACUUGGGUAUGAGUUUCAAAUAAAGGUAUGUGUUUGACACUGAUAUAUUCAAUUUUUCUUCAUGUACCUAGGGGAUCUUUGAGAAGACAUAUCACCGCACACAUGUUCAGAUAUUGAGUCCAAAACCGGUACUUCAAGCAAAACUGAGACUCAGAGAAACUUAGCUCUAAACCACUUUAUCCAUACUGGAGAAAACUAUACGCCAUUACUACGAAAUUCUUAGAUAACCAGCAUUUUGAAAUUCAUUUUUAUUAUCAUACAUCUGCCUUGAGAACCAACCCAACCCAAAGCAUAUAUGUUCACUUGGACUCUGGGUGUGAGUUUCAAAUACAGGUAUGUGUUUGACACGGAUAUAUUCAAAUUUUUGUUCAUGUACCUAGAAGGAUCUUUGAAAAAUCAGAUCACCGUACACAUGUUCGGAUAUUGAGUCUAAAACUGGUACUUAAAGCAAAACCAAGAAUCUGAGAAACUUAGCUCUACUUUUGUAGACACCUCUAAGGCUACAUCCCUAUGAAAGGAGGGAAAUGAAGCUAAAUGAAUGGACCUAAUUUCAGAAAACAACUAGUAAGAUAAAAAGAGAGAAAGACAUCCGUCCAAACAACUUAAAGCAAAGCUGAAAACAAGUAAAUUAAUUCAUAAAUGAACGGAUAAAUAUAUAAAUAAUGAUAAUGAAAUCAAUGGAAACUGAUAAACCUAAAUUUAUUUAAAUGAAUUAGUUAAAAUAUAAUAACAUAAAUCCAAGUAGAUGGAAAAACCAAAUCUAUUAACCCUCAAAUCCCAAACUAUCAAAUAGAUUAUUGCCCCAUAAAUAAACCAAAUCCAACAAAUUGAACUUUAAACCUACUAUUUAAAUUCCCCAAUUUGGAAUUACUCAAAUUAGCUAAAACAACACAAAAAUUCCUCAUUGAUCAACCCUACAACAAACAAAUUAUAGCUCAAAUAAACAAAACCAUAGAUUAAUUUUUCUUAGAAGGCGAAAAUUUUGAAAAAAAGAAGAAGAAAAGUGUACCUCCACGAUCGACCAGAACAUAGGUAGGAAGAGAACCAGGCUUGGAUAUAACCGAAAUCCCAAAGUCAUCAAAACCUUUACAAGCUUUUCGGUUUUCUUCAGGGUAAACCACAACACCAGCCAUGCUUCCACCACAUUGAGGUAUCCCAAAGUUCCCAAUCGCACUAUCAUGGGUUGCUUUAAUCUUCUCCGGCGAUGUUACCGCCAAGCUCUUCUUUUCCACCACGAAUCUCGCGUAACAAUUGCGUAUCAAAGAUAAUAAAAUAAACACUUGAGGAAGAUGAUGAUGAUGGAAUGUUCGUAGCUCCAUAUCUUUACUUUUGGUUUUGGAUUUGGAUUGGAUCAGUUUUAAGGACGAUACUGAUGAAGAAGAUGAAGAUCGUGUAUGAAAAACAUGUAAAAUGAAAUGGUUUUUUUGAAAAAAAUAAAAACAGUGAAAAUCGCCAUUAAAUAAUUCUAUGAUUCUUUUAUUUGUUUUAAAUGAAUUUAGAACACAGUUAGUGAAAUUUUGACACGCUACUAAUAAAUAAUCUUAGUCAUUUAUAGAUUAAACAUUUUUCUUUUUUUUAAACAGUGCAAUGAGACCAAAUCCAGUCAUCUGAAGUAAACUUAAUGGGUUUAUGUUUUUCUUAGCCCCCAAAUUUUCACCUACCGUGUAAUUUAGUACAUGUUAAAAAAAUCCAAUUUAGUCAUUUGUAUUAUACGUGACGGUCUUCUACAUAUACGAAGUCGUUUAAGUUUCGUUCCGGUGAAGAUUUCAAUAUGCUUCGCAUGUUCCAAAGUCCUUUGGCCCAUUCUAGCCAGUAUCGGCCCGUAUCAAUUGGUACAAAAUUUUGAUAUUUAAACUUAUCUUUUAAUUUUUUAUCUUAAACAUUUUAACUUUUUAUAACUACGUUUAAAAUUAAAAUAAACUGAAGCUAUUGAACCAAUUAAUAGAUUUAAAACUUAUUUUUACAUAUAGAUAGAUGUCAUUGAAAUAUAUCAAGAAAAUUUUCGGUGCAUUUAGCACAUAAAAUCCUCCAAAAAUAAGGAAAACAGUUAAAUAAUAUAACAUGAAGGAUUCAACAAAAACAACAAAGGAACAUCACAUUAUUCUUGGAUAACGGCAAUAAUUGUAUCAUUACUGAUUAUCAUCAGUUCUUCAUGGCGCAUCUCUCUAUGCAGGUAUUGACGCAGCCGACAACUUCCUUUGAAGCUGACAAAAACAAAACAAAUCAUUAAGUUAAUAUACGUACUUACUUACCAUCAAAUAUUAAUAUAAAACGGAAAAAGAAAAAUUACCAGGCAUCCUCCCUUGGCUGCUUAGCAUUGAACAUGUCAUGGCAGCACACCCAACAGUGCAGAAUACGGAGCUGCUCGCGAGGUGGGUUUCCUCCAAUGUCUCCACCAGUGCUUCUGACGGCAGGCAGCGUUGAAUACAUUCCCCAAGGGAAGUUCCGUUGGCGACGCAAGUCGUUACGCAAAAAGUAUACCCAAGUCCAAUCGGGACAAGUGCUGUAACAGCUUGACGCGAGGGACUAACAAGGAUCAACAACAGCAAACAGAACAUCAACGCCAAUGAUUUCCCCCCCAUUAUGUAUAUAUUUGAUUUGAUUUGAUAAUGAUUUUUUUGCACUGCUUGAUAUCGGUGUUAUAUACACUUUGAUUGUCAUGCCAAACUACCAAACUGCCUAAUUAAGAUGCCAAACUAUAAUGCCAAAAUUUGAUUGAAUGCAAAAUUAAAAGAACAUUUCUAUAAGUAAUCAAAAUAAUUUGAAAUGAAUUUGUCAUGCCAAACUACAUGGAAAAUGUCUAAUGUCUUGUCCUUUUUUUAGAAUUCUUCCUAAUAAUCUAAAUUCUUCCUAACCAUCCCAAAUAUUCUGAUUGUCAAUGUUCUUUCUCAGAUGUCAUGAAUCACAAAUGAACACUAAACCUUUAACUUCAUAUUUUAAACAUUAACAUCGAAGUAAACACUUAAACCGUGCAAAUAAAAUCUUGAUUCUCACCUUCACAGUGACUGUAUCCAUCUCCUUUGAUUUGCUCGCUAUCAACCAAGAGACAUUCACAAACUCUUCCUCGAAAUGUAUCUUAAGAAGAAAAUCAAUAUAUUCAAAUAAGCUCAUGGAGUAGAGAAUCCCUAUCAAAUCUGUUUCGAUUCAUACCCUGCAGGCUGUGAGAUUUGCUGCUUUUUCUUGCCAACAACCACCAUCAUUUUCCAAGCAUUCAUUCGUCUCCACAUCUGUGAAAAAAGUAACCGCCAUCACUGGUGUUUCAAAUAACAACUGGACAGUAAGUUGAAACACUACACUGGAUUUCUAAAAGCCUAGCUCUCGCCUAUGUUACUUAGUGUGAGAGUUGGAUAAGACAUAUGUCUGACAUGGACAUGUGCAAGUUGUUCUUCAUUUUCCCUGUAUUCAGAGUGUUUUUGGAGGGUCACAUCCCCAUACUCGUCUAUGAAAACGUGUCAGACACGGGUUCUCAAGAGAGGUAAAGAGUCAGCACCCCUAAGUGGAACCAGACUAAAAUACUUCUCUUGCAAGAAAAAUAAAACAAGACAAACUCACCACCACUCGAACAAACAGCUGGUUCAGUAGUCUCCUCGAAGCCGGCACAUAUGGCCUUCAAAACAGCACCUUUGGCCAGCUUUCCUGCAUGCAGAUAUGUUAAACGCGGAAAGCACCCAAAAUUUUAUCUGGGAAAUACGGGUAUAAAUACGAACCUCGAUAUUGGCGAUUGUUGACAACAAGUCUAGGCAAUAUGGUAACAUCUCCUCUAGAUCCUUUCCCCGCCUAUGAAAAUGUUUCUAUUAAAUAGCCUCAAAAAGGUCAAAGAAGACAACGAAUUGGAAAAAGAGUAGUGAAACAUAAAAUAUCUUAGCCUGAGAGGACUACUUGAGCAUCUUGUUCUUCUUCCAGAACAGGAUUCUCCAUAUCAGCAUCUGGAUCUCCCAAACACUUUUCGAUCUUUUUAGCGUCAAGCCCUGAAUGGAUGACAAAGGAAUAUCAUCAAUUUAUUACUAGUUUCCAGCAAGAUUUUGAGUUUUCACUGUGCUAUUAAUACUAACAGAAAUUUGAAGAUAAACCGAGGAUCUUCCAAUUAACUGUUUACCAAGAGAUUUGAUAACACCGUCUGCACAUUCCUUAUUAUAUCUUUUCUACUUCAUUGGCCAUCUUAUUUCAAAAUCAGUCACAUAGUCCCACCACACCCAAGGCCUAUUGGUCUCAUUUGCCACUUUGAAAACGCAAAGCUGCCUUAAGGUCUCAAUAACUACAUCUUUCCCUUCAUAACCUGAGCUAAAACCUUGUUCAGGAUCCGGUGCACAGUAUCUUCCGCGGUUGAUGCAUUGAGAUAUGCACUGCCGGCUUAGGGUGAAAGCUUGAGGGCAGUACCAAGUUAUAUAAUGGGGUGUGAACUGCGUAUAGCCACCUUUUUCGAGAAUCUUAGCAGCACCCUUGAAAUCCUUCACAAAUGCCAUCAGCAUAUCGCAUUUAACUCCACAUUCAUCAUUGCUCUUGGUCCAUAACUCGUACUCGUCACGAUCAUCAGGGUUAGAGUUUCACCAGAAGUUUUCUCGAUAAGGGCAGAUGAACUGUCCUCUUCGCGAUUGUCCCUGGUUAUUAAUGCUUCUUCUAUGUCAUCCGCAACAAGCACUGCAGAAGCACUGCUUGCCAUACAUUCCAAAUCUUUAAAGCAAAGAAGCAAUCUGGAGAAAUAAUAAGAAAAAAGGCGCUAAAUGCAGUCUCCGCAAAUAUAUAUAUAUAUCAAAAACUAAAGAAAAAUUACAUCUAAGACCAUAACUCAAUCAAGGACAAUAAGCAAAUUUUACAACCUUGGCAGCAACUGGAGUCCGUAUAUAGGCAACACUUCAGAUUUUUCUCAUCUCUUUAACAGUGUAAUCACAUUAUAGUAAUGUAACUGAAUUAUCUAAUCCGGAAGUAACUAUAAGCCAUUACUACCUAAUGCUUAGAUCAACCAGCAUUCUGAACCUCAUUUUUAUCACCAUACAUCUGUUUGAGAACCAACCAAACUCAAAUCGUACACUCUAAAUCUAUGUUCACUCGGACUCGGGUAUGAGUUUCAAAUGUAGGCACAUGUUUGAGACGGAUAUGUUAGUUUUGGUUUUUCAUGUAUCUGGAGGAUCUUUGAAAAGUCAUGUGUCGCCCAUAUGCAUGUUCGGAUAUUGAGUCUAGAACGGGUACUUCAGACGGAUAUCCAGAGGAUCAUUAACAGCAUAAUCGCGUUGCAGUAAUGUAACUGAAUUAUCUAAUCCGGAGGUAACUAUUUACCAAAAGAUUUGAUAACACCGUCUGCACAUUCCUUGUUAUAUCUUUUCUCCUUCAUUGGCCAUCUUAUUUCAAAAUCAGUCACAUAGUCCCACCACAUCCAAGGUCUAUUGGUCUCAUUUGCCACUUUGAAAACACAAAGCUGCCUUAAGUUCUCAAUAACUACAUCUUUCCCUUCAUAACCUGAGCUAAAAUCUUGUUCAGGAUCCGGUGCACAGUAUCUUCCGCGGUUGAUGCAUUGAGAUUUGCAAUGUCGACUUAGGGUG
rnacentral:lncRNA from 1 species